AUUGAAUGCCAUCUUUAUACAUGUAAUAGUUUUUGGUUACACUGUAAUCUAUCUUUAUACAUGUAAUAGUUUUUGGUUACACUGUAAUCUAUCUUUAUGCAUGUAAUAGUUUUUGGUUACAUUGUAAUCUAUCUUUAUACAUGUAAUAGUUUUUGGUUACAUUGUAAUCUAUGUUUAUACAUGUACAUGUAAUAAUUUUUGGUUACACUGUAAUCUAUGUUUAUACAUGUAAUAGUUUUUGGCUUUAUUGAAGACAAUUGUUUUUAUACUUAAUUGGCUCCAUGUAAGGAAAUGGGAUCUUCAAACCUAUUUAAUAAAUUCAGAAUUGUUCAAGCCUUUAAAUGAGGUAGUACUUAUGAAUUAGUAGACAUAUCUGAAAAGAAACAGUAGAAAGAAUAAUACAUGUCUUACUAUUAUUACUGGUAUUGUAGUUUUAAUGUUGUAAACAAAUACAUGUGUGUUGUAAUUUCAUGUUUUAUGCUUUUAUUUAUUUAUUUGUUUGUUUGAUUUACCCACCAAAUAAUUUCUUGUUCAUCUAAGAUUAUUUACUUUAAGGUUUCUGACCAAGAAUUUACUCUGCAAUUUACCCAUCUAAGAUUAUUAUCUUUAAGGUUUCUGACCAAGGAUUAUACUCUGCAAUUAUUAACCAACCUAAGAUUAUUAUCUUUAAGGUUUAUGACCAAGGAUUGUACUCUGAUUUACCCACCUAAGAUUAAUAUAUUAAAUGUACAUGACCAAGAAUUUUACUUGGCAAUUUACCCAUCUAAGAUUAUUAUAUUUAAUGGACAUGACCAAGAAUUUUUUUUGUAAACUUACCCACCAAAUAUUAUUACCGGUAUCUAUGACGUAUAUGACCAAGAAUUUGUGUGAUUAAUUGUACUCUGCCAACUUACCUGCCUAAGAUUACUUACCUUAAUAUACUUUAGUUAACUUACCCAUGGUUCACUUUUAUUUAUUUGACCAAGAAUUUUACUUUGUAAUUAACCCACCUAAGAUUAUUUGCAUGAAUGUAUUGUCUAGGAUUUGUACUCUGUUAUCUUACCCACCUAAGAGAUAUUAACUUAAAUAUAUAUAACCAAGAGUUUAUGUGAUUUAAUUGUACUCUGUCACAAGACGACUGACUAUCAAUGCUACUGAUAUCAAAGUACUCUGUCACAAGACGACUGACUAUCAAUGCUACUGAUAUCAAAGCACUUCAAACAAUCCUCAGUAAAGAGUUUAUGUUCUUUUAUUUAUAUGCUAAGGUAGAGUUGAUUUUUUAUCUCGACCGCCUUUUAAUCAUUUGAUACAAUGCAUUUUUAGAUUUAGUAGCUGGUGCUUUAAAUGACUGAAAAAAACCUUGGACAGAAGAACUUUUAAUUUCAAAGAAAGACCAUUCUGUAUUAAAAAAAACUAUGUAAAAAGUAUUUAUAAACUUCUUCAAUAUUAGAAUAGAUACUUUCAAUCAAUGACGCAGAUAAAGUUCAUUUAAAUAAAAAUGUUGUUUAUAUGAAAAGAUAAUCAUUAUGUAAUUAAAUAUUAGUCAACACUAGACCAGUCAAUUCAAAGCCUAAUACCAUUUCUUUCACCAAUCAUGCAUAAUAAUUCAUCUCCAUAAACUUUUUGCAUUUAAUGACCAUUGGCCUGUUUUGAAAUACACCUUUGAUAGUUUACACUUGACUUUUACAUUCAAAGUACAUGACAAGAAGUUGUUGGAAUAAUAUCUUGUUUACCAAUAGAAUGAAUAUCUUUGUAAGGUCAAGUUAAUUAAAAAAAAAAAAUCCAACAUGUUUAUAGUCACUUUAAAUUCUUCCAAAUUGAUGUUACAUUGUUGCUGACUAUUUUACUUCUGUAAGGCCAAUUUAUUUUAAUCCAUUUUUUUUCUGUAGAAUGUUUUUUAAUUUUUUAAAAAAUGUUAAAAUUUAUCCGACCUUUUAGGCUUUAUGAACAGUUUCAAUACUUUAAUAAAUGUACUUAGCUAUGAAGUAAGUUCAUGAUGCCAGUUAUAGAUACUUUUCUCCUAAUAGAGACUAUUGUGAAAUUAAAAAAGAAUUGAUAUUACUUGAAUUCUGAAAUGUAAAGGUCAGUUUUAAUGUCAAAGGUCAAACUCCAUCGAAAGAAAUUUCUUCAAAAUCAAUUGAUGUAGCCUGGUACAUUCCGUAGAGUCACAGUACCAAAAUAUCAUUUGUAUUAUUUUGUAAAACUUUUCUUUCUAAAGUCUUGUAUGUUAUGUGGUUUUAGGUUUUAUUUUUGUCAGAUAUAUUUUUUAAUUGGAUGAGAAUUAUUCCAAUUAGUUGUUACAUGUAUUAUAGAAAUAAAUUCUACAGAAG
rnacentral:lncRNA from 1 species